rnacentral:lncRNA from 1 species
CGGCCGCCGCCGCCUCGUCUUCCCCGAGGGCUCCGCGUCCGUCUCCGCAGCUCGGCCGGGAACCUGGGAACUCGGACGCAGAAGGACGCGCCCGAGCCAGGACCCGCCGCGGGGUCCCUCUGGUGGGCCGUGGCCGGGGAGAGGACGCGGGCCCUGGCGGUCGAAGACGGACGCAGCGCCCGGAAAGGCGAGCCAGGUCUCCGGCUCCUGGCGCUUCCUGUGAGCUGGCUCGGCGGGGUGCGUCGCCGGGGAGGGAGGGACUGGCCGUGGGGCGAGCAGCCGGGCGGGGAGUGGCUUCUGGGGGCCUUCGCCAGCGGAGGGCCCGCGAGGCCGCCCUCGGAGCGCCGCCAGGUACGUGCGUUUUCCUUGUUUCCCGCGCUCCCAGAGCGCACUCUCGGUAGGGAACGAAUAAAAUCCCGGCUGGUGUGUAAGAGCCUUUCGCUGCAAACGUGUCUUUCUGCGGGAUUCGGGGAGCCGCCGAACGCGGGGUA